UACGUAGGUGGCAAGCGUUGUCCGGAAUUAUUGGGCGUAAAGCGCGCGCAGGCGGUCCUUUAAGUCUGAUGUGAAAGCCCACGGCUCAACCGUGGAGGGUCAUUGGAAACUGGGGGACUUGAGUACAGAAGAGAAGAGUGGAAUUCCACGUGUAGCGGUGAAAUGUGUAGAUAUUCGGAAGAACACCAGCGGCGAAGGCAGCAACUUGGUCUGGUAUUGACGCUCAGGCACGAAAGCAUGGGGAUCAAACAGG
rnacentral:rRNA from 1 species